UUGAUUGCUGGGCGGGGGAGCUAGUUGUUUGAGCUCCUGUAUGGGCCUAAGGAUAUUUUUGUUAUAAUUUAUCCCACCUGUGCCCGUCAGUUCCUUUCCACUUGCCUCCUCCCGUGACAGUCUGGCUCAUGUUUCUUCAUCAAGCUCUCAGCCAGUUAUUAAUAACAGCCCAGCGAGUCUCCUGAUCUACCUAGAGCAUAUGGUGUUUUUCACAAAAGAGAGAUCCUCUCCUUGACUUUGGACUUCGCUUAUUGAGCCCCUGAACAGGACCAAGGUUGCUAAGAGACCACCCGUGCUGAAUGCACUUUGUCCUAGCAAGAGCUUACAGUUUACCAAGAGAAAACCAAGGAGCAGGGUUAUCUACCGCUACCUGGGAUUAAGGCAGGUGACCAAACUGAUGAGAGGGGAUCCCGAGGAAAGAUCAAGAUAAUGAAAAAGACCUUUUGUUUGUUUAAUUAAAAAAAUAUUUUAUCACCUGCCUUCUUCUGUGUCUUCAAAUUCACAUUUCCUGGUGAUGUUGCCGAUACAGGUUGGAAGAAUGGCAAUUUCACUGAUGCCAACAGAAAUGAUGGUAAAGGACUUUGCAGAUAAGAUUUCAUAAGUAAUUACUGAUAAUGACAAGAGAACAGUCGUUUUAAUAGUUCCUUGAGUUGUUUCUCUUCAGAAAGCAAGCAUAUUUGACAUGUAGAAAAAUGUAUGAUUAUGACAUAAAGUGGUCAAAAUGAGUAGGUGGGAAAUAAUUUAAUUCAUUAGAGGGGAAAGUAUUUUACUUUA